AAUGAACGCUGGCGGCAGGCCUAACACAUGCAAGUCGAACGGAUCCUUCGGGAUUAGUGGCGGACGGGUGAGUAACGCGUGGGAACAUACCCAAAGGUACGGAAUAGCCUCGGGAAACUGGGAGUAAUACCGUAUGUGCUCGACAGAGGAAAGAUUUAUCGCCUUUGGAUUGGCCCGCGUUGGAUUAGGUAGUUGGUGGGGUAAUGGCCUACCAAGCCGACGAUCCAUAGCUGGUUUGAGAGGAUGAUCAGCCACACUGGGAAUGAGACACGGCCCAGACUCCUACGGGAGGCAGCAGUGGGGAAUCUUAGACAAUGGGGGAAACCCUGAUCUAGCCAUGCCGCGUGAUCGAUGAAGGCCUUAGGGUUGUAAAGAUCUUCCAGGUGGGAAGAUAAUGACUGUACCACCAGAAGAAGCCCCGGCUAACUCCGUGCCAGCCGCCGCCGUAA
rnacentral:rRNA from 1 species